GACGAACGCUGGCGGCGUGCUUAACACAUGCAAGUCGAACGGAGAGGCCCUGCUUUUGUGGGGUGCUCGAGUGGCGAACGGGUGAGUAACACGUGAGUAACCUGCCCUUGACUUUAGGAUAACUUCAGGAAACUGGGGCUAAUACCGGAUAGGAGCUCCUGCUGCAUGGUGGGGGUUGGAAAGUUUCGGCGGUUGGGGAUGGACUCGCGGCUUAUCAGCUUGUUGGUGGGGUAGUGGCUUACCAAGGCUUUGACGGGUAGCCGGCCUGAGAGGGUGACCGGCCACAUUGGGACUGAGAUACGGCCCAGACUCCUACGGGAGGCAGCAGUGGGGAAUAUUGCACAAUGGGCGGAAGCCUGAUGCAGCAACGCCGCGUGCGGGAUGACGGCCUUCGGGUUGUAAACCGCUUUCGCCUGUGACGAAGCGUGAGUGACGGUAAUGGGUAAAGAAGCACCGGCUAACUACGUG
rnacentral:rRNA from 1 species